CCUACGGGCGGCAGCAGUGAGGAAUAUUGGUCAAUGGACGCGAGCCUGAACCAGCCAAGUAGCGUGAAGGAUGACUGCCCUAUGGGUUGUAAACUUCUUUUAUAUGGGAAUAAAGUGUUCCACGUGUGGGAUUUUGUAUGUACCAUAUGAAUAAGGAUCGGCUAACUCCGUGCCAGCAGCCGCGGUAAUACGGAGGAUCCGAGCGUUAUCCGGAUUUAUUGGGUUUAAAGGGAGCGUAGGUGGGUUGUUAAGUCAGUUGUGAAAGUUUGCGGCUCAACCGUAAAAUUGCAGUUGAUACUGGCAGUCUUGAGUACAGUAGAGGUGGGCGGAAUUCGUGGUGUAGCGGUGAAAUGCUUAGAUAUCACGAAGAACUCCGAUUGCGAAGGCAGCUCACUGGACUGCAACUGACACUGAGGCUCGAAAGUGUGGGUAUCAAACAGGAUUAGAUACCCUAGUAGUC
rnacentral:rRNA from 1 species